GUGAGGAAUAUUGGGCAAUGGGGGAAACCCUGACCCAGCGACGCCGCGUGAGGGAAGAAGGUCUUCGGAUUGUAAACCUCUGUCUUCGGGGACGAUAAUGACGGUACCCGGGGAGGAAGCCACGGCUAACUACGUGCCAGCAGCCGCGGUAAAACGUAGGUGGCAAGCGUUGUCCGGAAUUACUGGGUGUAAAGGGAGCGCAGGUGGGGCUGUAAGUCGAAUGUGAAAUCUAUGGGCUCAACUCAUAAAUUGCGUUCGAUACUAUAGUUCUUGAGUGGAGUAGAGGCAGGCGGAAUUCCCGGUGUAGCGGUGGAAUGCGUAGAUAUCGGGAGGAACACCAGUGGCGAAGGCGGCCUGCUGGGCUUUAACUGACACUGAGGUGCGAAAGCAUGGGGAGCAAACAGGAUUAGAUACCCGGGUAGUCC
rnacentral:rRNA from 1 species